rnacentral:lncRNA from 1 species
CCCCGCUCAGGCCCGGGGAUCACCGGCACCCCGCUCAGCCGGGACAGCCCCGCUCAGGCCCGGGGAUCACCGGCACCCCGCUCAGCCGGGACAGCCCCGCUCAGGCCCGGGGAUCACCGGCACCCCGCUCAGCCGGGACAGCCCCGCUCAGGCCCGGGGAUCACCGGCACCCCGCUCAGCCGGGACAGCCCCGCUCAGGCCCGGGGAUCACCGGCACCCCGCUCAGCCGGGACAGCCCCGCUCAGGCCCGGGGAUCACCGGCACCCCGCUCAGCCGGGACAGCCCCGCUCAGGCCCGGGGAUCACCGGCACCCCGCUCAGCCGGGACAGCCCCGCUCAGGCCCGGGGAUCACCGGCACCCCGCUCAGCCGGGACAGCCCCGCUCAGGCCCGGGGAUCACCGGCACCCCGCUCAGCCGGGACAGCCCCGCUCAGGCCCGGGGAUCACCGGCACCCCGCUCAGCCGGGACAGCCCCGCUCAGGCCCGGGGAUCACCGGCACCCCGCUCAGCCGGGACAGCCCCGCUCAGGCCCGGGGAUCACCGGCACCCCGCUCAGCCGGGACAGCCCCGCUCAGGCCCGGGGAUCACCGGCACCCCGCUCAGCCGGGACAGCCCCGCUCAGGCCCGGGGAUCACCGGCACCCCGCUCAGCCGGGACAGCCCCGCUCAGGCCCGGGGAUCACCGGCACCCCGCUCAGCCGGGACAGCCCCGCUCAGGCCCGGGGAUCACCGGCACCCCGCUCGGCCGGGACACGACGGCGCGGCCGGGCAGAGCUUUGAAUAGGGAAGUUUUGCGGGGGGCUCCGCUCGCAGAGUCCGCGCCGUGUUUGCAAAUAUUGGGGCCGCUCCUGCGCCAGGUCCGCCGGCCGCGGGAGGGGGGACAGCCGCGCGCCCGCCCCGGGAGACGUCCUGCCCUGCUGUGCGAUUAAACUUUGCAUGAAACUUUGGGUCUUUUUUCCUCCCCGAGCUCCUCAAGGAAUUAAUAUAUAUCUCUAUAUAUACAAUUUUUUUUUAAUAUUUUUUUUUUCAUCUCUGGAGGAAGGGGGGGGGGACUUGGAAACUGAGAGCAGAGGUUAACACCCCCCCGCACACACCCCGCAACCCCUGCACAUAAAGGAGGCAUCUGUAUUUUUGGUAACCAGCACUGACU